CACUGAUCAGACCCAGAGCUCAGCUUCUUCUCAGUCUCAUUUGUCUACCUUUCCUGUAAUUCGCCGUGUGCUGCCGUGGCUCACAGGAGACUAGGACUCACUGCAGAGGUUCUGUACUGAGGACUGAACCAUGCACGCCAAAUAAGCACUGCACUGAGCUACAUCUUUGGCCUUUUUUCAUUUUGAGACAGGGUGUCUCUAAGUUGCCAAGGCUAGCCUUCAACUUGAGAUUCACCUGCCUCAACCUUGCCAGAGUUGGGGUUAUACGUGUGUGUCAUCACAGCUGGCCAAGCAUGUUUUUAAUGCACAUAUACCAGAUUUUCGAUAACCUAAAAUGAUCAAAGUAACAAUAUUGAGUCUACCAGUGUGACAAUGGAAGAAAAAAUUGGCCCAAGAUAUGAACUUCACCAAAGAAUAUAUUUGGAUGGGUAAAUUAAAAGGUGCUCAACAGCUGAUUAUUAGGGAAAUGAACUAUUUUUUUUUUGGUACCAGGGAUCGAACUGAGGACCCUGUGCUUGCAAGGCAGGCAUAGUGCCACUGAGUUAAAUCCCCAGCCUGAGAAAUGAACUUUAAAGCUACCAAAGGGUGCUGCUAUAUUUAAUAAAAUGACUCACAGGGCCGGGGAUUUAGCUCAGUGGUUUCGCCGCCUGCUGUGCAAGCGCAAGGACCCGAGAUCGAUCUCCAGUACCUAAAAACAAACAAAGACUCACAUGUAGAAGUCUGAUCAUGAUACAGGUUGGAAGGAAUGUAGGGGAACUGGAGCUCUCAGAUGCUAUUAGUGGACACGUUGGAAUCUAUAACCACAUGGGGAAAAUCUGGCAGUUUCUUCAAAAGCAAAGCAUGCGCCUACCAAAUGAUGCAGCCAUCCCAGCCCAAGAUCGUCACCAAGCGGGACGAAAGCACAUGUCCAUACAGACUUGUUUGUGAACAGCCAGGGCUGCUUCCCUGUCUCAGCUAAGCGCUGGAAUCCACUGGAACGCCCACCAUGUGAAUGCAUAAGGAAACAGUGGUUUACCCUGGAGAAGGAGCCCUUCCCACCAGGAGGCAGGAAUGACCCACUGAUACAACAACACGGACAAAUCUCUAAAUAAUCAAACUGGUUCAGAGUGGCAACAAAGAUGACAUGCUAGGGCUGGGGAUUUAGCUCAGUGGUUUCUUCGCC
rnacentral:lncRNA from 1 species